UAACAGAUCAGAUCAUGCUGUAUUUAUUACUGAUAGCACUACUAGAAUAGCCAUGGCUGGAGCUCUCAUCUGGUAUCAAAUCCGUCAGAUCUCCCACACGGCACACGCAAAACGCAAAGACCAAGAAGCACAAUCUCGUCCGCCCAUCAACCACCGCCCACCCCUCUCGAGCCACAGCUUAACCCUAGCCGCCUACUGUAGCCUCUAUAAAUAGCACGCCCUGUAAAGGCCACUUCGCCAUCAGAGAGCGAGAGAGUAGCACUCCAGCUGCGAGUGGCCGUCCACGGAGGGGAGAGAGCUUGAAGUAAGGAAGUGGUAGUACUGGCCAUAUGGGCUUGCCAAAGGGGCGCUUACCGAGAGCUCUUUGGCAUUCUGUCCACCUCCUCCUGAAUCUUGCAGGGGAGAUCUCACGAUCUGUCGAGCUUGCUGAUUGCUUGGAGGUGGGCAUACUGCCAAUGGAGCUGUGUAGGCCUCCCUUUGUAAAACCCAGAUGGCAAAAACCAACACGGGCUUCUUGCUUAGUCUAGUUUUUCUCCUGCUUGAAAGGAUGUUAUUGCCAGGCUUGAUGAUGAUCCUUGUAAAAUUCUGGGCUCCUUUUCUGGCUUUCUGUGAGUGCUAGCUCUUGUUUUCUUGGUAGAUGUUGUGGUUCAUCAUGAUGUGCCUUUUGGGGAAGAUUUAGGGCAAGUUAUAUCUCCCCAUAUGUGCUAGUUAUUGUCUGUUCUUGUUGCAUCUUAACUGAAGUGUUUCUUACUUUAUCCCAUGCCGGGGGAGGAAAUAUGGGUGUUUUCAGCAUGGCUUUCUUCUGGAUCUGCAGUUUCUCUCUAUUCCCUAUUGACAAAGUUCUUCCAUUCUUGCUGUUUUUCUUCCCACGCAGGGCCCUUAGUUGAGACUUUAAUGAGUGUUCUCCAACAUCCGAGCAUGUGACAGUGAGAAGUUCUUGAUCCUCGCCAAACAACUAAGAGGUGCGUCGAAGACUGCAUGCAUCUACCCGGUUCACAUUUAGCUUUCCAGUUCAUAAUUUGCCUACAUAUGAAUUAGGCACAAAAUCUGUAGUAGGGACUGAAGCUUUGGCCUCCUGUGGCGAGCGUUCAUUUUAAGUAAAGGCGUGACCGUGGGAGAUUCCAGGUUCAUGCUGCCCGGAUGUUAUCUUGGCUUAUUAUUGAAAACCAAGUCAUGGAACCUAGGCAAUUAAAGAUCUAAUAGAAUUUGUUAUGUGUUUGCUAAUUCCUUUAUUUGAGGAAGUGAUCCGCAUACAAGUCAGUAUUUCUCACUAUAUAUUUCAUGGUCCUACUGCCGAAACUGCAAUGGUAACUUUGUCCGAUUGUGGCUCCAAAGAAGGAAAAAAUGUCGAUAUUGUUAUCUUUUUUGCACUGUAUUUUUAGAUCAUUUAUGUAAUAUUGUAAUAAUAAUCAAACUUUAUAAAUUUUAUUCUAACUUAGGAUAUUACUAAUUUUCAGGAUAAAUAAGAAGAGAGGAAGUAAUACUUAUCAUCGUUGAAAUGUCUAAGAACAUAUGUUGUA